GCCCCGUUCAUACAUCUACUCCCUUAGAUUCACGCCCAUCCUCCGUUUGUGUAAAAAAUAAACCGACAUGACAAGAAGAAAAAUCACUGAACUGU